rnacentral:rRNA from 1 species
AGCGAACGCUGGCGGCAGGCCUAACACAUGCAAGUCGAACGAACUCUUCGGAGUUAGUGGCGGACGGGUGAGUAACACGUGGGAACGUGCCUUUAGGUUCGGAAUAACUCAGGGAAACUUGAGCUAAUACCGGAUGUGCCCUUCUGGGGAAAGAUUUAUCGCCUUUAGAGCGGCCCGCGUCUGAUUAGCUAGUUGGUGAGGUAAAGGCUCACCAAGGCGACGAUCAGUAGCUGGUCUGAGAGGAUGAUCAGCCACAUUGGGACUGAGACACGGCCCAAACUCCUACGGGAGGCAGCAGUGGGGAAUCUUGCGCAAUGGGCGAAAGCCUGACGCAGCCAUGCCGCGUGAAUGAUGAAGGUCUUAGGAUUGUAAAAUUCUUUCACCGGGGACGAUAAUGACGGUACCCGGAGAAGAAGCCCCGGCUAACUUCGUG